AGAAAGCACUCUCAUCUGUACCAUUUUAUAUCAGAUCCUUUUGGAACACUAUCACUGUUUUUUAAGUAAAUGAACUCUUGCUCGUUCCUAUCGCUACAGGAAUCGGUUACUAUCCGAAAUACACAGGAUAUAUAUCUAUACUAUGGAGAAUGAAACCACUUCCGGUUGGUUCCGUUUACGGAUUCGCCUCGCUGAAUUUCUUCACAUCCGAGGGAUACUGCCCUCGAUAACAGUUAGACCAAACAUGAGAUUAUACGCGAAACUUUCUGCAUACGCUACAAGAUCACUAUUGAGAAUCCUCAAAUUUAAUCGGUGUCCACCGAUCGAGAGACAAAAUAAUAUUCGUACACUUUUACGGACGAGUUUUCUUCCCUCACGAUUCAAUAGAAUCAUUUUUUAGGUUAAAUAAUGGAGCAAAAUACAAGUGUAUUUUCGUCGAAUUAUUGUAGAAUUGUAAAUUGACACUUCUCACGAGGUGUCAACAUUCGGAAAUAACGCUAUAUAAUCACGUCGAAUCGAGUUUGAUGAAUACGUAAUGCGUUGCAUGUUGAUGAAGAACAGGUUAUAAGCGAUUUUGUACUAGAAUAUGCUUGUAUGAAGGUAAUAUAGAGAUCAUCAUUUCUGAAUUAUAGGUAAUCUAACUUAAUCUAAACUUCAUUGAUGAGUAUUGAUGAAUUGGCUUACUAAAAAUAGUGCAAUGUUUUUAUGUUAAGAUACUUGAAAUGAUGUCAAAGAAUUAUGAUAAAAUGAAGAAAAAUGAUUUCUUAAAUGUAUUCUA